UGCGUAUUGAUGGUAUUAUACGUACAGUACAAAGAAGCUUCGCAUGUUACACAAAAUUAGUUUGGGACAUUGCUCAGACUAUUUUGCAUCAUAUAAUUAAGUACCCAAAGGACGCUCAUAAAUAUAGUACGCAUGUAAACUUUACUUUACCUACUAAACUAAAUUUACUUACAAUUUUAUCGAACUAAUAUUUUGAUGACGUAAUGUUAUAAUUGAAUAACAGGGUGUUAUCUAGCUUGGGAUGACGUAUUUUUAAGCUUGAGUCUGUCCAUGUGAAAGGUCAAUGUUCAUGAGACCUCAUGCAGGCAGCUGUUGUUAUAAAUUCUCCUCGUGAGAUUUAUUCCUUUGCUGGGUCUCGAAUAUAAUGGGACUGUAUGCUUUUCACAAAUUUUAUUCUAUUAUCAUUCGUUACAUAUGACUGAUCACCGCUAUCAAUAUACAAACACUCACACAAACUUUCGCACUCUUUCACAAUCUUUCACAAUUCAUUUCAAGUCAUUCACACUCGUCUUUUUCUUUCGACAAUCUAACUCGUACUUGUACUCUCUUACUUUUCAUGCUGUGGAAACUUUUGCCCGGACGAAGUUCAAUUGUGACGCACAUUAUGCACAUCUUCCUCGCUUGGUUGACCACAAAUCAACCCACAAACUUCCCUUACGUACGUACAUUCCGUCUAAUUUA